rnacentral:rRNA from 1 species
AUUCCAGCUCCAAUAGCGUAUAUUUAAGUUGUUGCAGUUAAAAAGCUCGUAGUUGGAUCUUGGGUCGUAAGGGUCGGUCCGCCUACUCGGUGUGCACCUGCCCUUCCGUCCCUUUUGUCGGCGGCGUGCUCCUGGCCUUAAUUGGUUGGGUCGCGGUUCCGGCGCUGUUACUUUGAAAAAAUUAGAGUGCUCAAAGCAAGCUUAUGCUCUGAAUACAUUAGCAUGGAAUAACGUGAUAGGAGUCUGGUCCUAUUGUGUUGGCCUUCGGGACCGGAGUAAUGAUUAAUAGGGACUGUCGGGGGCAUUCGUAUUUCAUUGUCAGAGGUGAAAUUCUUGGAUUUAUGAAAGACGGACCACUGCGAAAGCAUUUGCCAAGGAUGUUUUCAUUG